AUCAAUAUAGCAAAUACGAUUUAGUGCGAAAGAUUUAAAAUCUUUAGGAAGACAUUAGUCUUGUUGAUA
rnacentral:tRNA from 2 species